GGCCGUAACUAUAACGGUCCUAAGGUAGCGAAAUUCCUUGUCGGGUAAGUUCCGACCCGCACGAAAGGCGUAACGAUUUGGGCACUGUCUCAACGAGAGACUCGGUGAAAUCAUAGUACCUGUGAAGAUGCAGGUUACCCGCGACAGGACGGAAAGACCCCGUGGAGCUUUACUGUAGCCUGAUAUUGAAAUUCGGCACAGCUUGUACAGGAUAGGUAGGAGCCUUUGAAACGUGAGCGCUAGCUUACGUGGAGGCGCUGGUGGGAUACUACCCUAGCUGUGUUGGCUUUCUAACCCGCACCACUUAUCGUGGUGGGAGACAGUGUCAGGCGGGCAGUUUGACUGGGGCGGUCGCCUCCUAAAAGGUAACGGAGGCGCUCAAAGGUUCCCUCAGAAUGGUUGGAAAUCAUUCAUAGAGUGUAAAGGCAUAAGGGAGCUUGACUGCGAGACCUACAAGUCGAG
rnacentral:rRNA from 1 species